UACGGAGGGUGCAAGCGUUAUCCGGAUUCACUGGGUUUAAAGGGUGCGUAGGUGGGUUGGUAAGUCAGUGGUGAAAUCUCCGGGCUUAACCUGGAAACUGCCAUUGAUACUAUCAAUCUUGAAUACCUUGGAGGUGAGCGGAAUAUGCCAUGUAGCGGUGAAAUGCUUAGAUAUGACAUAGAACACCAAUUGCGAAGGCAGCUCACUACACGGUCAUUGACACUGAGGCACGAAAGCGUGGGGAUCAAACAGG
rnacentral:rRNA from 1 species